ACUAGCGUGUUUCCAGUUAUACCCUCCAUCUUAUCAUUGUCAUCGUGGCCAUCCACCAAUCCGCAACUCCAAGUUCCCAGGUGCGUUCCCUUCCCUCAAAACCCUAAUCCCCUUCAAUCUCGAUCUCCGAUUAGGGUUUCAAUCCAUGGCCGAUCGCGGUGGAAGCGCGGCGGCGAAGCCUGUGUGGAUGAAGCAAGCCGAGGAGGCCAAGCUGAAGAGCGAGGCGGAGAAGGCGGCCGCUGCUAAGGCCGCGUUCGAGGCCACUUUCAAGGCUGUUGAUCCACCCAAGCAAUCUGCGGGAUCCGACGAUGAUGAUGAGGAGGAGGACCUCUCUUCUAAGCCCAUCGGCCCGCCCGAUCCCUCCAAGUCCCUAGCUGCCGGAGCUGGGAUCGCAGGUGGGACCGCCUGCGCCCCUGCCUCGUUUGUCCUCACGGCCAAGGACUCGGAUGGCCGCCGCGUUCCGUCGGGCGGUGCUCACGUUCAGGUGAAGAUCUCCCCUGGGGUCGGUGUCGGUGGGUCUGAUCAGGAAGGCAUGGUGAAGGACCAGGGUGAUGGGACUUACACCGUCACGUAUGCUGUCCCUAAGCGUGGUAACUACAUGGUUCAUAUUGAGCUUGACGGACGCCCUGUUAUGGGGAGCCCUUUUCCCGUCUUCUUCAGCGCUGGGCCUGCCGGAACCCUCCCCGUUGCCACCACAAUGAGCCAGUAUCCGAACAUGGUGAAUCAGACCAUGCCCAACAUGCCCAAUUAUGCCGGGGCUGUCUCGGGGGCGUUUCCUGGGCUUCUAGGGAUGAUUCCAGGCUCCCUACCAGGUGCUACAGGGGGUGUUGUGCUCCCGGGGAUAGGAGCAAACUUGGGGGAGGUUUGUAGGGAGUAUUUAAGUGGGAGAUGCGCCAAGAGUGAUUGCAAAUUUAACCAUCCACCGCAUAAUAUUCUUAUGAUGGCACUCACUGCGACCACCUCGAUGGGGACACUGAGUCAGGCGCCAAUGGCCCCAUCUGCAGCUGCAAUGGCUGCUGCGCAGGCCAUCAUGGCUGCCAAGGCACUUCAGGCACAUGCUGCUCAGAUGCAGGCUGAGGUCAAGGCAUCUGGGAAUGGUACUGAUUCACCUGACAAGGCUGGGAAAGAUGCAUUGAAGAGAACACUACAAGUGAGCAAUCUUAGCCCCCUGCUCACAGUAGAUCAGCUGAAACAGCUUUUUGCUUACUGUGGAACAGUUGUUGAUUGUACCAUUACGGAUUCUAAGCACUUCGCAUAUAUAGAGUUUUCAAAGCCUGAAGAAGCAACAACAGCUUUGGCUCUAAAUAACAUGGAUGUUGGUGGCCGUCCAUUGAAUGUUGAGAUGGCAAAGUCUCUUCCUUCAAAGUCGUCUUUGGCAAAUUCAUUAUCAGCCCAAUCAUCUAUACCUUUGAUGAUGCAGCAAGCAGUUGCGAUGCAACAGAUGAACUUUCAGCAGGCUUUGCUCAUGCAACAGACAAUUGCCUCUCAGCAGGCUGCAAACCGGGCAGCAACAAUGAAGUCUGCAACAGAGAUGGCUUCAGCCAGGGCUGCUGAAAUAAGCAAAAAGCUAAAAGCUGAUGGAUUGGGAAGUGAUGACAAGGAAGAAGAGAAAAAAAAGUCCAGAUCACCGUCUGUCCAUCGAAGAUCUAAAUCUAGGUCUAGGUCACCCAUCAAGUACCGUCGAAGCAGGCGAUCUCGGUCUUUCUCACCAAUCAAGUACUCGAGAGAUAAAAGGUCACGAUCACCAAUUAGGUCCCACCACUCAAGUCGUGGAUUGGAAAGGUCUCAAAGAGAUGUUAGCAGGAGUGGCCGGCGGGAAAGAGAUAGAUCUCGUGAUCAUUAUGCUUCUGGUUCAAGAAGACGUGUAAGCAGGAGUCCAAGUCCAUAUACAAGGAAAUCAUUCCGAACUGAGUCUAGAUCACCCAAGCGGCGGAGAGAAAGUUUAAGCCCCAGGACAAAGAGGUUAUCUAGAUCUCGAGCUGAUUCAAGGUCCCCAAGGCACCACAGAGGGCGCAGAUUUUCUCCUAGACAUAAGCAUGAGCCUAGUUCUCAUCGCAGCAGGCGCUCAAGAUCCAGGUCCACAGAAGGAAAGGAACGGUCUAAUCAGAAGGAUGAUGCAAAAAGGGAAAGCCCCAUAUCAAAAAGGUUAGCUCGAACUGGUUCAAGGUCACCAUUGCAUCAUAGAGGAAGCAGAUCAGGACCAGGAGACAGCCAUGAAAAAUCAUCCAAGCGCAGUAGGCACUCCAGGUCAAGAUCCGCAGAACGGAGGCAUCAUUCUGAUGACAAGGAAAAUGCUAAAAGAUCUGAAAAGAAGAAGAAGAAGAAGAAUAUAAGGGAAUCUGACAUAACUGACUUAACUAGCAAAAAAUUAAAGGAUUGUCAGGACCAUGGGGAAGAUCAGCCAGUGGAUUUAUCUGCUGGUAAUAACAAGAGGAGCUCCUCUGUCACAGAUGAUGGAACCUCAAAGAACAAGAAAGACAUCAAUAAAUAUGAAACAUCGAGAAAGGAAAAUAAAGAACAUGGAAUGAAUGAUCCAUCGGGAAAUUCAAGUCCUGAAGGUUUGGGAGUAGAACCAAAAUUGAAGAGUGCAAAUUUCGCAAGUAAUGAACCGCCACGCUUGGAUUAUAAUGUGUUGCCAGACACUGAUGCUAUGACUAAAGAUGAUAACAUAGAUUCAACUAAUGGGAUUCUGUCAGAAAUUGGGGUGUCUGUCAGUGCAGGAGGCCAAAAUGGGAAAGAUAUGUCCAAUCCGGAUGAUUUGAUCAAGAGCUAUUGACCAGGCUGCUAAAAAGGGCAGACACAAUGUUAUACUAAUUAACUCCGAUUUUGGGGUUAUACAAUUGAUGCAGGAAAGUUUAUUUAUGAAUUAGGUCUGCUUCUCAUCCACAGGUUUUGCAUGCAGGGGAUGGUUGAUGUUGGUGGUGUUGCAAAAAAAAGUCUGAAGAUGUGAGUGGAAUGUUCUAUUAUAAAUCUGAAUUUAUGUCAUGAACCUGAGUCCAAGAAAUGGAGGAUCAGAUUUGAAGAUCUUGUUGAAUCUCCACUUUAUUUCCAUCUGGAUUUGCUUGCUGUUUAACUGCAUGAAUUUUCUUGGGGAAGAUGAAGGUUUCUUUUCAUGAGGGUACUAUAGUGAAGGCCCCCCCCGAAAGUGGUCCUUUGUUGGUCAUCUUACCUUCAAAGGAGGCGGCGCCUGGGAAUAGGUUGUAUACUCGCAUUGCUGGUUGUUUAACAGCACGAAGAUUCACAUCAUUGGAUAAGACCUCUUAUGCUCUUUAUUCUUUGCUUUGCUCUUUACUUCUUUGCUGAUCAGAAGGUUUUCUAGUGAAGAUUGCUGGAGUACUAUAGGAGCAAGUGAUGCCCCCUUCCCUUAAUUGGACAGGAUAUCUAUAACUUGGGGAUCAACUAAGCUCUCAGAACGCUGCUUGGGCCUUAUUUUCUGAGAUUUUCUGGACCUCUUCCUAAUUGAAAUUUCAUGACAUCACUAUAUUAUGUAGAAUCUCAAGCUUUGCAUAUUUGGUAUCACUACCGCUAUUUAGUUGUCUGUAUCUUCUGGGCUUUGUAUUAGGCAAGAUGAUGGUGCUGCUGGCUCAUCAGACUGACUAUGGCUAAGUUCUGUAGAUUCAGAUCCUUGGAUAACUUCUGAUCAUCUUCAUGUCUGCUCGUUACAGGUAAUUCGGAAGUGUUGCCCUAAUUUAGUGAAAUCUUUGAGCCAAUUUGUGUUUUGUGAAAGCUGUCUUUAGGUUUUCAUCAUGAAAUUCCUCUCAUUCUGGUUACAUUUGUGAGCUAUAAGAAUUUUGGUGUCACUCGUUUGAGUUUUUAGUUUGCUCACCGAUUCACCUACCAGAAAAUAACAUCUUCUUGUUACCAUGCUCAUGAAAAUUUCAUCUUCAUGGGUUUUAUUUAUUUA